GGAGGAGUGACUGAGCGGUUGAAAGUGCGGCUCUCGAAAAGCCGUAGGCUCGCAAGGGCCUCGUGAGUUCGAAUCUCACCUCCUCCGCAA
rnacentral:tRNA from 1 species